GCCGUCGCCGCGACGCGCUUUCUCCCUCUACGAUCAGAUCAAUCUCAUCGACAACGUCCCUGAAGACCAGCUCCGCUUCCAACGAUACCUUCUUCUCCCGCUUUUUCCCUUCGGAAUGCCAUGAAUUACCACUCGACCAUCACGCUCUUUCUACAACAUUCAAAAUCAAAUCCCUUUUCUCAUUUCAAUCACACAUACUUUGCGUAACUUAGAUCGAAUUGUGUUUGCUUUUGCUAAACUUAGGUAUUCGGAAACGGGGUUCACUGUAAAUGGCGUGGAUUAUGAAGGUGGAUUGCUUUGUGUGGGGAACAUGUUAACGUCUUGGGCUCCAAAGAAAUUCCCAGAGGUCACUCCAGAUAGCUUACCUAUCUUCCAAAUUGUGCGGCCUAUACCAGGUGGUGCUUGGAGGUGGUCAAGAUGCAUCUAAUGUCAAGACCACUGAUCAUCGUGCUGGAAAAUUUGAGGCUAAAUUCUUUGAGAAGAUUCUUCAAGAAGAAAUUGGAGGUGUGAAAGGGCAUUUUGGACCGAUAAAUGCUCUGGCAUUCAACCCUGACGGAAAAAGUUUCUCAAGCGGAGGCGAAGAUGGUUGUGUACGUUUACAUCACUUUGACCCCGAUUACUUCCACAUCAAGAUCUAGAUUUGGAGCAUAAAACUUUCACAUUGAUUGAACGGUGUGGCUGAUUAAUGCCACCCAACAGAGAAGCUUGGCUUGGA